rnacentral:sRNA from 1 species
UUUUAGGAGUUCUUAAUGCUAUUUUCUUUCUGAUCAAUUGAAAAUUGAUUUCAGACUUUCUCCACCUAACAAGUGCUUGAUAAAAUGUCUGAACCAACUAAUUUCAGAGAUUUGUAGAUUCUAGCCCAAGACCUUGGAUGUUUAGACUGCUUAUUGACUUUAAUAGAUUGGGGUUUAAAGCCUGCUUUGUUAAGUUUCAUCAAUGAAAAUUGAGAUUAGGAAGUGAUAAAGUUAUGAGAGUCAUUGUCACGAAAGUGGAUUGAUUUGUUUUUGAAUCUAUUGUCUAGGGAUAGCUUGAUUGAGUUUGUUACUUAGCUAAUGGAUUGAGGAGUCCACUAAGACCAAUUACCCCAUUCUUAAGAGCUCUGUUUCGUUUUAUUGUGCAAAACUCGUGUUUUUAGUACUAUGUUCGUCUCGUGCAAAAUUGGUGUUCUUAAUAUUGUACUCGACCUGUUUAGUUGUUUGCUCGACCGAGUGCUUGACUUAGUGCUUGAUUUACUUUCUGCUCUUGCUAUUUGAGUUCUUUAUUUUCUGCUUAGUAUAGUUCUGUUUCUGAAUUUGAUUUGCAUGUUAACCGAUUGCUUAGGUUUAGUAAAAACACACCAAACCU